rnacentral:rRNA from 1 species
CCUACGGGAGGCAGCAGUGGGGAAUCUUCCGCAAUGGGCGCAAGCCUGACGGAGCAACGCCGCGUGAGUGAAGAAGGUUUUCGGAUCGUAAAGCUCUGUUGAGAGGGACGAGAGGCAAGGCUAGGAAAUGAGCUUUGUAGGACGGUACCUUUCGAGGAAGCCACGGCUAACUACGUGCCAGCAGCCGCGGUAAU